rnacentral:lncRNA from 10 species
AAAUCAGUAAGAAUGAAAUCCAAUUUUAAAAUUUCCAAUAGUUUGUGUUUCUAUAACAUGUCAUUGACAUCCCAUGUGGAAAUUUGAGAAGUAUUAUUAGAGAGGGGUGUAACUGGAAGCUGUGAAAAUUCACAUCUGAGGGCACAGAGAACAGGCUCCAUUUUGCUGUUAUGUAGACUUCCUAGUUCCUGUGUCCCAUUGGAGAUGCUCUGAAACCUUUUUCUCUAGUCUGUGAUCCACCCACCAUUUAGGUCUGCAUGUGUCCAUUUUAAAUUAAAAUUGAGUUCCCACUAUGUAAUUUUCCCACUGAAAAGCUGGGGCACGCAAAACCCUGUUGAUCUCAUCAAAUCCUGAUUAGUGGCCCUGUUUCUUGAAAAUCAUGGAAGAAGGCAUUUACAAUGAAAUCCUCAUUUUCAUUUUUUUUUAUUGUCUCAGCU